GGCGCGGUGGCCUAAUGGUCAACGCGUUGGACUCCAGAUCAAGCGGUCUGGGUUCGAGCGCUGGCCGGGGACA